rnacentral:rRNA from 1 species
UACAGAGGUCUCAACCGUUGUUCGGAUUCAUUGGGCGUAAAGGGUGCGUAGGCGGUCGUGCAAGUCGGAUGUGAAAUCUCAGGGCUCAACCCUGAAACUGCAUUCGAUACUGCGCGGCUAGAGUGCUGGAGGGGAGACUGGAAUUUACGGUGUAGCAGUGAAGUGCGUAGAUAUCGUAAGGAAGACCAGUGGCGAAGGCGAGUCUCUGGACAGCAACUGACGCUGAGGCACGAAGGCCAGGGGAGCAAACGGG